rnacentral:rRNA from 1 species
GUUGGGUAGGGGAGCGUUCUGUAAGCCUGCGAAGGUGUACUGUGAGGUAUGCUGGAGGUAUCAGAAGUGCGAAUGCUGACAUAAGUAACGAUAAUGCGGGUGAAAAACCCGCACGCCGGAAGACCAAGGGUUCCUGUCCAACGUUAAUCGGGGCAGGGUGAGUCGACCCCUAAGGCGAGGCUGAAAAGCGUAGUCGAUGGGAAACGGGUUAAUAUUCCCGUACUGGUGGUAACUGCGAUGGGGGAACGGAGAAGGCUAGGUUGUCCGGGCGACGGUCGUCCCGGUUCAAGCAGGUAGGCAGAGUGAUUAGGCAAAUCCGGUCACUUAAUGCUGAGAUGUGAUGACGAACCACUAAGGUGGUGAAGCAAUUGAUGCCCCGCUUCCAGGAAAAGCCUCUAAGCUUCAGGUUACCAACAAUCGUACCCCAAACCGACACAGGUGGUCAGGUAGAGAAUACUCAGGCGCUUGAGAGAACUCGGGUGAAGGAACUAGGCAAAAUGGUGCCGUAACUUCGGGAGAAGGCACGCUGGCGGUAGGUAAAGUCCCUCGCGGACAGAGCUGAAGCCAGUCGAAGAUACCAGCUGGCUGCAACUGUUUAUUAAAAACACAGCACUGUGCAAACACGAAAGUGGACGUAUACGGUGUGACGCCUGCCCGGUGCUGGAAGGUUAAUUGAUGGGGUUAGCGCAAGCGAAGCUCCUGAUCGAAGCCCCAGUAAACGGCGGCCGUAACUAUAACGGUCCUAAGGUAGCGAAAUUCCUUGUCGGGUAAGUUCCGACCUGCACGAAUGGCGUAAUGAUGGCCAGGCUGUCUCCACCCGAGACUCAGUGAAAUUGAACUCGCUGUGAAGAUGCAGUGUACCCGCGGCAAGACGGAAAGACCCCGUGAACCUUUACUAUAGCUUGACACUGAACAUUGAGCCUUGAUGUGUAGGAUAGGUGGGAGGCUUUGAAGUGUGGACGCCAGUCUGCAUGGAGCCAACCUUGAAAUACCACCCUUUAACGUUUGAUGUUCUAACCUAGGCCCAUAAACUGGGUCGGGGACCGUGUCUGGUGGGUAGUUUGACUGGGGCGGUCUCCUCCUAAAGAGUAACGGAGGAGCACGAAGGUUGGCUAAGCAUGGUCGGACAUCAUGCGGUUAGUGCAAAGGCAUAAGCCAGCUUGACUGCGAGAGUGACGGCUCGAGCAGGUACGAAAGUAGGUCUUAGUGAUCCGGUGGUUCUGAAUGGAAGGGCCAUCGCUCAACGGAUAAAAGGUACUCCGGGGAUAACAGGCUGAUACCGCCCAAGAGUUCAUAUCGACGGCGGUGUUUGGCACCUCGAUGUCGGCUCAUCACAUCCUGGGGCUGAAGUAGGUCCCAAGGGUAUGGCUGUUCGCCAUUUAAAGUGGUACGCGAGCUGGGUUUAGAACGUCGUGAGACAGUUCGGUCCCUAUCUGCCGUGGGCGUUGGAAGAUUGAGAGGGGUUGCUCCUAGUACGAGAGGACCGGAGUGAACGCACCACUGGUGUUCGGGUUGUCAUGCCAAUGGCAUUGCCCGGUAGCUAAGUGCGGAAGAGAUAACCGCUGAAAGCAUCUAAGCGGGAAACUUGCCUCGAGAUGAGUCUUCCCUGUCGCUUUAAGCGACCUAAAGGAACGUUUAAGACUAAGACGUUGAUAGGCUGGGUGUGUAAGCGUAGCGAUACGUUGAGCUAACCAGUACUAAUGAACCGUGAGGCUUAACCUG